UCAUGAUUACAUUCCUCAAUACAGAUCUGUUCUUAGGCAGAUCAUGAUUACAUUCCUCAAUACAGACCUGUUCUUAGGCAGAUCAUGAUUACAUUUGAUGCAUCAUUCAUGUAACCUUCUACUAUUGAGCCAAAUAAACCUGAGAUCUUUCCAUGGAAAUUGUAGUUUAACAUACGCUAGUCUGACAUGAUUGUAUUGUUUUCUGCCAAGGAGACGUACUGUAACCAUUGUUUGUUUUAAUCUUCAAAAUGAAAGCACAGGAGAAGCUUUCCUAUUGUGUUAUUGACUGUACGUUUGUUUACUCCAUGUGUAACUGUGUUGUUUGUGUCGCACAGCUUUGCUUUAUCUUGGCCAGGUCUCAGUUGUAAAUGAGACCUUGUUCUCAACUGGUCUACCUGGUUAAAUAAAGGUGUUCUCAACUGGUCUACCUGGUUAAAUAAAGGUGAUCUCAACUGGUCUACCUGGUUAAAUAAAGGUGUUCUCAACUGGCCUACCUGGGUAAAUAAAGGUGUUCUCAACUGGUCUACCUGGGUAAAUAAAGGUGUUCUCAACUGGCCUACCUGGGUAAAUAAAGGUGUUCUCAACUGGCCUACCUGGGUAAAUAAAGGUGUUCUCAACUGGUCUACCUGGUUAAAUAAAGGUGUUCUCAACUGGCCUACCUGGUUAAAUAAAGGUGUUCUCAACUGGUCUACCUGGUUAAAUAAAGGUGUUCUCAACUGGUCUACCUGGUUAAAUAAAGGUGUUCUCAACUGGUCUACCUGGUUAAAUAAAGGUGUUCUCAACUGGUCUACCUGGUUAAAUAAAGGUGUUCUCAACUGGCCUACCUGGUUAAAUAAAGGUGUUCUCAACUGGUCUACCUGGUUAAAUAAAGGUGUU
ensembl:lncRNA